GACGGAGGAUGCAAGUGUUAUCCGGAAUCACUGGGCGGAAAGCGUCUGUAGGUGGUCAAAUAAGUCAACUGUUAAAUCUUGAGGCUCAACCUCAAAAUCGCAGUCGAAACUAUUAGACUAGAGUAUAGUAGGGGUAAAGGGAAUUUCCAGUGGAGCGGUGAAAUGCGUAGAGAUUGGAAAGAACACCGAUGGCGAAGGCACUUUACUGGGCUAUUACUAACACUCAGAGACGAAAGCUAGGGUAGCAAAUGGG
rnacentral:rRNA from 1 species